rnacentral:tRNA from 1 species
CAUUAAAUGACUGAAUUUGUAAGUUUUGAUUUUUUAAAUCAACUAUAAUAGAUUAACUCCUAUUUUUAAUGU